UCUGUACGAUGUCACUUCACCACGUUUGCUCUCUCUGGGUUUGGCCGUGCUCAGGGUGAUGCUGACAGCUUGUUGGACAGGCUGUGGCAGAAGAAGAAGGCUGAGAUCAAGCAGUAGGUCUUGCACGUAGUUCCACCAGGAAUGGACUCUUGAGGGAUACUGCUUUAGCUAUGUUUUAUCUCAUGUAUCCGUACCGUCCAGAUGCAAGUGUUGUGCUUUCACUUGGUACCUUAAUUCUGAAGACUCAAUAUUGUUUCUUGGGUUCCAUCUGA